rnacentral:lncRNA from 1 species
UCCCCAAUAUGGAUAUGUAUUUUUAUAUUUGACUGCUUGUAUUUUUUUGUUAGAUGCAAAUAGUACGGUAUUCCGAACAGACACUAAAAAUAGCUGUCAUCUCAAAGAAUCCAGUGCUUGUGUCACAGUAUGAGAAAGUAGAUGCUGGGGAACAGCGUUUAAUGAAUGAAGCAUUCCAGCCAGCCAGUGAUCUCUUUGGACCUUGCAUUCUCCAUCAGAUUGGAUCACCUCCCACCCUGAGGCCCCCCAAGACUUUGAACAGUUCUUCAGUCAUCCUUACAGAAAGAUACCCUCUCCAGACAAACGCAGUAUUUAUAUACGGUCCAUUGGAUCUCUAUGAAGCACCAGAAUUAUCAGUGAAGAAUAUAUUAAAUGGCUCACGGGCUACUGUAAAGCAUAUUUCUAUCGCUUGAGAGUAAAACUGCUAGAACCAGUUCCUGUUUCUACAACAAGGUGUUCCUUUAGAGUCAAUGAGAACACACAAAACCUACAAAUUCAUGCAGGGGACAUCCUGAAGUUCUUGAAAAAGAAGAAACCUGAAGAUGCCUUCUGUGUUGUGGGAAUAACAAUGAUUGAUCUUUACCCAAGAGACUUGUGGAAUUUUGUCUUUGGACAGGCCUCUUUGACAGAUGGCACUGGUGAGGUGGAUUGAUGAUGAAUCUUCUGGCACACCUGGAGCAACUCCAGAACACAGUCGUGAGGAUAAUGGGAAUUUACUGAAACCCGUGGAAGGAAGCCUUUAAGGAAUGGAAAGAGUGGAUAAUAAAAUGCCUGACUGUUCUCCAAAAAUAAGGACCUUCAAAUAGGAGUGAUUGAAAUAAAUGACUACUUGCAUGUUAUGCUUUCAUUUGGGUGGAAUACUUCAUCAGAAUAAACUAUUGAUCUUGUGCUGUGUCAAAGUAACAGACUAGAACCUUCUUUCAAGUACCUGAAUUGAAAUGAAACUCAUUUUGAAUAAUAAAAACUCUAGAAACUC